rnacentral:rRNA from 1 species
CCGCGUCUGAUUAGCUAGUUGGUGGGGUAACGGCCCACCAAGGCGACGAUCAGUAGCCGACCUGAGAGGGUGACCGGCCACAUUGGGACUGAGACACGGCCCAGACUCCUACGGGAGGCAGCAGUGGGGAAUAUUGCACAAUGGGGGAAACCCUGAUGCAGCGACGCCGCGUGGAGGAAGAAGGUCUUCGGAUUGUAAACUCCUGUUGUUGAGGAAGAUAAUGACGGUACUCAACAAGGAAGUGACGGCUAACUACGUGCCAGCAGCCGCGGUAAAACGUAGGUCACAAGCGUUGUCCGGAAUUACUGGGUGUAAAGGGAGCGCAGGCGGGAGAACAAGUUGGAAGUGAAAUCCAUGGGCUCAACCCAUGAACUGCUUUCAAAACUGUUUUUCUUGAGUAGUGCAGAGGUAGGCGGAAUUCCCGGUGUAGCGGUGGAAUGCGUAGAUAUCGGGAGGAACACCAGUGGCGAAGGCGGCCUACUGGGCACCAACUGACGCUGAGGCUCGAAAGUGUGGGUAGCAAACAGGAUUAGAUACCCUGGUAGUCCACACCGUAAACGAUGAUUACUAGGUGUUGGAGGAUUGACCCCUUCAGUGCCGCAGUUAACACAAUAAGUAAUCCACCUGGGGAGUACGACCGCAAGGUUGAAACUCAAAGGAAUUGACGGGGGCCCGCACAAGCAGUGGAGUAUGUGGUUUAAUUCGACGCAACGCGAAGAACCUUACCAAGUCUUGACAUCCUGCGACGAUGCUGGAAACAGUAUUUUCCUUCGGGACGCAGAGACAGGUGGUGCAUGGUUGUCGUCAGCUCGUGUCGUGAGAUGUUGGGUUAAGUCCCGCAACGAGCGCAACCCUUACUGUCAGUUACUACGCAAGAGGACUCUGGCAGGACUGCCGUUGACAAAACGGAGGAAGGUGGGGAUGACGUCAAAUCAUCAUGCCCUUUAUGACUUGGGCUACACACGUACUACAAUGGCGUUAAACAAAGAGAAGCAAGACCGCGAGGUGGAGCAAAACUCAGAAACAACGUCCCAGUUCGGACUGCAGGCUGCAACUCGCCUGCACGAAGUCGGAAUUGCUAGUAAUCGUGGAUCAGCAUGCCACGGUGAAUACGUUCCCGGGCCUUGUACACACCGCCCGUCACACCAUGAGAGCCGGGGGGACCCGAAGUCGGUAGUCUAACCGCAAGGAGGACGCCGCCGAAGGUAAAACUGGUGAUUGGGGUGAAGUCGUAACAAGGUAGCCGUAGGAGAACCUGCGGCUG